GGGCAACACUAAACUUCUCUAGUACUAGCACUUCUCUGCCACCAUGGCUCUGUCCAUCUUGUGACAAUAACUUUGGGCUUCCACAAUGAAAAGCUGGCAGCACUGGCUGGGCAGGAGUUGGUCCUUUCGUUGAAGUUUCCUGUCUGGCUGAAUUGUUGCCUAAUAUCUGCAACUAAGGGCCAAUGAAGCUAAUUUCUAGGGCCACCUGUCCUGGUUCCUGAGGAUGCUGAGGCUUCAAAGUGCAGUAGAAGACCACGACCUGAAGUUUUCAGCAGUUCAUGGCUGAAUAGAACACGGUUUAGCAUAGACCCAGCAUGGAUUUCUGAAACAUCACUCUGCUUGGUGUUAUCCCUGACAUCUUCAUCUCCCACUUGCAAAAUUGCAAGAGACAAUCUAGCAAGGUGGUUUCAAGCCAGGUCAUUGGAAGUAGACCUCCUGAGUCUGAAUCUUAACUGUGCCACUUAUGACUUUGGACAAGUUAUUUGAUUUCUUUGAACCACUGUUCACCCCUGGCACAUUUCUAUGCACCAAGUCCUCUGAGAAGCACUGGGAAUCCAGAGAAGAUGACACUGUCACUACCUUUAAAGGCCACAUGAUCUUUUGGAAGCAAUGAGAGGUGAUCUGAGAGAAGUGGAAACUGGCCAUUGCAGGUGACUAUGAGAUCAUGUAGAAGAGUGGACCACUGAAUUCAUGGGAGGAUGCUGUUACUUUCUUGGUCUCAUUCCUAGUGCCAUGUACAAUCUUCUUAUCAUGGACUUGGGCAGCAAGAAGAUAGACUCCCUUUUGCAGCUCAAAUCAGGAAUCAGAGAGAUGAAAAGCAUAACACAGACUCUAGUGGCCUGAACAAGGCAGGAACAUUAUCAUCAUCUGCCCAAAUUCAACCAAGAGAACUGAAAGGAACUGAAUAAGAUAUAAUGAGGGUUCAUGAAGACAGUAUAUAGAAUUAGGAAGCCAGGAAGCUGGAAGAUAGAUCCAGAGCUAGCUCACCACAGAGGAUCCUGGCGAUGAGUCCGAUUACACUUGAGGCUCAUCUACCUUCCCUUAGCUUUCACCAUCAAACCCAAUGCCAAGAGUGAUGGAAGGGGAAGAUGCAGUUGCUGGGAACUGACACUUGCUGGCGGAAGGGUUGUGAAAGAGACAUUUCUUUGACAUCAAGCUUAAUAAAUAAUCCAUUAUCUU
rnacentral:lncRNA from 1 species